UUGCCAGACUCCUACGGGAGGCAGCAGUGGGGAAUAUUGGGCAAUGGGCGCAAGCCUGACCCAGCAACGCCGCGUGAAGGAAGAAGGCUUUCGGGUUGUAAACUUCUUUUAUCAGGGACGAAGCAAGUGACGGUACCUGAUGAAUAAGCCACGGCUAACUACGUGCCAGCAGCCGCGGUAAUACGUAGGUGGCAAGCGUUAUCCGGAUUUACUGGGUGUAAAGGGCGUGUAGGCGGGAGUGCAAGUCAGAUGUGAAAACUAUGGGCUCAACCCAUAGCCUGCAUUUGAAACUGUACUUCUUGAGUGCUGGAGAGGCAAUCGGAAUUCCGUGUGUAGCGGUGAAAUGCGUAGAUAUUAGGAGGAACACCAGUGGCGAAGGCGGCCUGCUGGACGAUGACUGACGUUGAGGCUCGAAAGCGUGGGGAGCAAACAGGAUUAGAUACCCCAGUAACU
rnacentral:rRNA from 1 species